rnacentral:lncRNA from 1 species
GUAAUUUCCAUGAAAUUGACAUUUUAGAACUAUGACAAAAAGCCAAAUUAAAACUCAGGGGUUCCUAAUCCCUAAAUUCUGAGUCCGUUUUAAGAAAUACCUAAAAUACACUUUAAAACGAACCAAUUAAUAUAAUUACCGUGGGUUUAAAUAACACAUACACACUGGAUUUGUUUCUGUAAAACACAGCUGUUCUGUUAUUUACAUUUUGCUAUUUUUUAAAUUAGAAAUAUGGCUUUAUAUAUUGUACAUAUAUGUAAAGUAACUUUUUAAAAAGAGUGAAUCUGUUGUCUUCUGCCAUCAUUACAUUAAAAAAAAAAAAACCCAACCACCCUACAGCCAAUUAACUUGGAAAUCUUAUAUUCAAGCUUCUGAAUAUUACUGCGGUUGUAGCAAGGGAAGCAGCACAUCCAGGUAGUUAAUGUAGAAGAAACAGGGCACAGGCAGCAACUUGCAUCCCCUGGCAAUUCACAUGGUAAUUUCUUCGCUUCCACUCUCAGGCUCACUCCACCUUGCUUCACCAACCCCCCUCCCCCUAAGACACGAGGCACCCUCUGGGCCACGGAAGGUGCCAUGCGGGGAGACGCCGGAAGAGCGGGGGCAGAGUGCACGGUUCCCACACCCUUAGCCGCGGGCGGCCGCCGCGGGCCCCAGGAGUGGGGAACCGGUUGGGAGAGCGGGGUUGGGGGCGGACCCCAGGGCCGCACCCCUGGUCCCCCCCAUCCCCUUUCUACCGCCACAGACCCAAGAACCCGAAAUCUGCGGCACGAGGCGCGGCGCCCGCAGCCCCCGGCUGGGCCCCGGCGGGGAUGGGCGGGCAGGGGGCGGAGCGCAGCGCAGCGCGGGGCGGCGGGAAAGGGGCGGAGAGGAUAGCUUGGGCUCUGGCGGGCCGCGGGACUGGCAGAACCUGCGGGCGAGGUGGGUGGCUCGCCAGCCGGGACGAAGGGAAAUGAGGACCACCGCUCCGGGGCGCGAGUAGGCGCGUGGAGUCCGGGGGCUCAGCCGCCGCGCCUCUUCCUCCUGCAGCUGGAGACUGCAACAGCGGCGGGUGCACCGGCAGCAGCGACGACCCUGCGCGCAGGUGGCAGUGUAGAAGCCAGACCGGGAGCUUCCAGAAGUGGUUUCUGAAAGAGUCAAAUGUACAUGAGUAAGCAAGCACAGGAAUCUGAAAAACCACAGAGUGGGAACUUCCCUUCUGUUUGCUUAUGUCACUUCUUCCACAUCUGUUGAGAUGAGAAUAUGAGUAUCCUCCUUAAAUAUGUUAAUAUGGCUAUGGAUGGAAUGUCUUGAGAAUGAAGUUGA